UUCGCCUGGCGGGCGUCUGUCCGGCGACCGCCGCGAACCUGGAUGCUGCCGGCCAGGCUGGCGGCGUCCGGCGUCCUCGUCGCGGGGGAGCCCGAGCUGCGGGGCCCGGGUCGCAGGGUUCGGUCGCGUUUGCGAGCGGCGAUGCGAGGCCCCUUGCUGCCGAUGGAGGUGGAGAGCAGCAACAAGAAAAAGGAGUCCUUUAUGGCAAAGUCAGACCACCCUAGGCCUCUUGAGAACUACCCCUUACUUUUUGGAAUUAACGCACUGUGGGCAGGGUGACUGAAAACCAGAGGAUAGUCCCUAGGGAGUCCCGUGCUUCUGAAGAAACCUCUUAAUGAUGAAAGCUGUAUCUAAGCAGCCAUUUCCCUGGGUGCCCUUCCUGUUUAGCAGCAGCCACACUGCAGUUAUCAGUGCCCAGCAUCCAGCGUUGGUGAUAUCCGUGACCGCGUCUGCCCUGGAUCAUCUGCGGCGCGAGGUCCUGACCGACUUUUCCCUGCAUACGAGGCUGCUCGGAUGCUUGCACAGAAGGAAGGAUAGUAAAGGGGCAGGAGAUCAUUGCAAACAGCUGCCCUCUACCCAGAUUGCAGUGCCGAUAUCAACCUGCCCCAGUCCUUGGCCACCACCGUGCCAACGUGAUGGAUUCAUUUCAUGGAGGGGUCAUGUGGACAGAUGAAGGCUCCGCAUGGGCACAGAAGCAUGGCGUCCCUCCUCAAAGCUGACCUCCCUCCACCCUACCUGUCGUUCACAGAGACUGAUGUCAGCCCUUUUAGUGCGCGGAUCUUUGAGGAGUCACUUAGUGAUUACAUAACACCCCUUGUAUCCUGGAGAGGGAAGCAAUUCGUUCUGACUAAGAUUGACAUGUUUUCCAAGUGUAUGUUUACCUUUCCUGUCUGUAUCAACUUGGUCAGCACCUCUAUUCAAGGACUCACAGAGUGUCUGAUUUAUUGACGUGGAAUCUCCCACAUACUGUCACUUCCGAUCAAGGGACUCAAUAUAUGAAAAAAAGUUCUGCAGUGAGUACAUAUCUGUGCGAUUCACUGGUCCCACUACAUCCCACAUCAUCUGUAAACUGCCAGCCUGAUAGAGCAGUGGAAUGGCCUCCAAGAAACACAGCCGAAGCAACAGUUUGGAGGUGAUAUCUUACAAAGGCAGUCCUUCAGGGUAUAGUAUAUAUAUAUUAAAGCAGAGGUUGGCAAACUGGUUCAAAGGCCAAAUCGGGCUUGCUGCUGUUUUAAAAACAUGAUGUUAUCGGAACACAACCACACUCAUCAUUUAUAUAUUGUCUGUGGCUUCUGUUACGCUACAUCUGCAGAGUUAAGUAGCCACGUCAGAGACUGUAUGGUCCACAAAGUCUAAAAUAUCUACUGCCUGGCACUUUAAAGAAAAAGGUUGCCAUUUUCUCCUUAAGUCAGUGAUGACCGUAUGGUCCUGUGUUACUGCUGGGAACCAAGGAGCGGGGAAGGGUCACUCUGUUCUGGCAAGCCACUUGGGAAACUUUUGCUUCCAGUUUCUGAAAUUUUAGGCUCUUCAUUGAAGAACUAGAGGUCCUGUUUUCUGGAAAGGGAACACCUCCACUGGGGGAAACAUUAAUAGUUGCAAUAAACUUAAGACGUUGGCUGCCAUUGGUCAUUUUACGCCCAUUGUGCAAGACCAGCAAGAGGAGAAGAGUUACCAUACUUGCAGGUCUAAUUGACUUUGAUAUUCAUGAGGAGGCAGGGUUGCUGCUACAUUCUGGUAGCAGGGAACAUUGUAUUUAGCACUCAUGUGAGCCACUGGGGUAUCUCUUGGGAAUCCAGACCUCAGUUUUCACCGUAAGUUGGCAAGCAGAGCUUAACUGUGGACAGACAACAGCAUGGUCACCAAAGUCUCAGAGCCCCUCAGGUGACAAGACCUUCCCGUGCAAGCCACCUGGACCAGCAGAAAUGCUGGCACAGGGUGAGGGGAAUGUAGACUGGGCAGCAAAGAAAGGCAAUCACCGUUAUCAGUCCUGACCUCAGGCCUAACCGCAGCUGUGGGGGCUAUAGUUUAUCCCACUAACUUCUCUUUUAAGUUUUCAUAGACAUUGUGAUCCACCAGAAUCCUGGAGAAGUUGCAAAUGGAUGGAGUGAACCUAAUGUGUAAAGCAAGUGGACCUGAGAGGUUCAAGGGGUGGAGCACAGCAGAUAAUGUUGGCGCUCUGUCCAGAUGUCCUGGGUUGGCUUGGUGUGCUCAUUCUCCUCCAACUGCUGCAUGCGACGCUGCUAAGGCACCUGCAACGUUUUCAGGAGGCUUGCCUUUGAUAGAUUGGAGCCACAUCACCAGGAGGCGUCUGGAAGUUAUGCAUUACUCAUCCCUGUCACAGCCUGUAAACAGUGAGUGCCUAGUGCCCGAUAUGGAGGUACAGAAACCUCACUCCCCUGCUAAGGUGGGAAAGAUGGUGGUGUGGUGUGUGCAUAAGAGCUCUCAGGGAUUUGGGGCUAAGGCUAGACCCAGCUAAAACCACAGUCUUGCUUUGCUUCUUCCGUUGGCUUCUGCUGCUGCCCCACAUUCCUUACAGAUUUUCCCCUUUUCCUUCUCUUACACAGUUAGGAGUUUGGACCUUAAAAGAUAUUGUUGAUCUGCUGAUUGGUCUAAAACAGGCAGCUGAGUGCGUGCGUUUGGCCCAGGAUUUCUUAUGUAAUUAUGUAAUUUCUCGUAAUAAAAACAGUUGAUUAUG